AAAUUAAUUUCGAGCCUAAAUCUAGGCUCAAGCUCGGCUUGAAAUUAAUUCGAGCCAAGCUCGAGCGAGCCUAAUUUCAAGUCGAGCCGAGCUCGAGCUCUAAACGAGCCGAUUGAAAUUCUCGACAUUAUAUAAUCAAUAGUUUAAUUUUUAUAUAACAUUACCUAUAAUUUGAUGCAACAUGUCCAAUAGUUCAAAAUACAAAAUAAUUGCAAAAAUGUGAGCUAGGGUGACUG
rnacentral:lncRNA from 1 species